UGGAAUUCAGCUUGGAAAUUUGCACUCCAUUCAAACAAGUGGAAUAGGUCAGGCCAUCAUUGUGACCAUGCCAGAUGGAGAACAAGUAUUAACAGUACCAGCAAAGGACAUUGCUGAAGAAACUGUUAUAAGUGAAGAACCACAAAAGACAACGUAUUGAAAUAAUUGAAAGCCAGGUGGAGUCUGCAGAAAUAGAACCAAAUGCACUUAUCAAACUCACUUCCACAGGUGGAUCCCACAGCCCCUGCCCUGGCCACUCGAAUGGAGAAACAACUCCAGGUCUUAGGAGGAAACCUAUAGAAGAAACCUCAAGAGGAAUCUCCAGACUUUACCGAGGAAACCCUGAGUUGAAGAAAUGGGGACAUCUGUGCAGAUGCCAGACUGACGGGAUGGAAUUAAAACAGACAAACAGCAUUUUGAGUUCACAUUUGCAAUCACAUGCUAAGAGAAGGUGUGUGGAGGAAGAACCUCCCUGGACUGCGUGGCCAGGUUUCAGGGUCUCAAGGGGCCGGGGCCAGCGGUGGGGUCUGAGUUUCCCUGACUGUGUAGCCAGGGAUGCCUAGGGACCGUCCGCCAGUGACCUGUGCCUCGCACAAGAGUCACUAUGGCUGGGCGGGGGGUGGGGGGCAGAUGGAGGGGGUCUUACUUGACACUGUCAACUUGAUUUGUCUCUUUAAAAAAAAAAAGGCAAAGAGAAAAGCAACACGUGUCAGCGAAAAUGACUUUGGUCCUCGACAAUUAUUAGGAAAGGAUGUUCAGGGGACAGCAGGGGUCAUGAUGUAGAGCAGCUCCGCAGUGAGUUCCCCUUCCUCUCUGCCUGGGCAGCAGAACUGGGGCAACUCUGGGCUGUCUCCCCUCUGCCCCCCGUGUCUCAGUGUUCCCACCUGUAAGAUGGACAUUGCUGGGGGUGAAGGACAGAAAGGUCUCUGAGGUCCCAGCCGAGAGAGGUCCCAAGGAUUUCUAGUUGGCUAAGUCUUUUUUUUUUUUUUGCAUCUCUGAUGAGGGCACGGUGAGGUUUCAGGAUGUAGUGCCGGAGAACCAGGAUUGGGGGAUGCAACUGGGCACCUCCUUAUUUUAGGUAAAUCUUUUGAGGACAGACUGGAGAGGGCAAGGAGGUCCCUCUUCCUUCUAGUUCUCUGUUUUUGCCUUUUCUUUCCUGUCCCUGCAGCCCCACCUCUGAAUCGCUCUCUUCAUUUCAAAAUUCUGGCUGUUCCCAUCUGGGCACGAUCUGAUCCUCUUGAUUUCUUCCUGUCUGUCUGCCCACCCCUCUUUUCUCUCCUUCCCUCCCUUCUCUUCUUUGGGUCCUUACUGUCUCCUCCCUUUUUAGGGAGGAUUGGCUAUGUCCCUCAAUGUCACCCCCCACCUCGAUCCCACUACAAGCCUAUUUUAUCCUUUUCUUGAUCCAUGAAAAUCUGGGGCAAGUUCCCCGCAUGGAGCAAGGUCCAAAUGCAAUGCCAGGACCCCACCUGCGCUCAGAACCCCAGGCACCCCAGGUGAAACGGUGGAAGCCCAAAGGCAUCAUCCAAUGCUGGGUGGCCCUGAGGAAAGCGCUGCUCCUCUCUAAGCCUUGUCGUUCCCAUAGAGGAGCGUUCUGAUUUCAAACACUUCCAGUCCCCUCUGUCUUCUCUUGACUGCCCUGCGGCUCAGCCAGUCUGCUGGGAAUACCUCCUGGGUGCCUAGAUCUGUGUGGGAGGGGAAGGUUGGUAUGGACAGACACGUGAACGUGUGGGCACACAAACUCCCUGCCUGAGACAUCAUUCAAUUAGACAUCCCCUCCCUGACACUCCACCUGGGCCCAGCCUUUGCUCACUGAAAUUGGGGCUCUUGGGGGGCUUCAGAGCCCCAUCUUGGGGGGAAAGAGAGCCUUUCACAGAUACCCUCAGCCGCAUGGCAUCGGAGACAGAGGCUGGGGGAGGGGCAGACAGAGGAGGGACACUGGCUGGGGAAGUCCUGAGGGGGAUCAGAGGUUUUCCACAGAAGGGAAUAUUUGUGAUGAGUUUUGAGGGAUGACUAGGAGUUCUCUGGGGGAAAGAAGAGGGAGAAAAUUUCCCAAACAGUUUUAGCCUGGGAGUCAGAAAAUGUCAUUUGACAAAUACUCCCUGAGGCUCCCUCCAUGUGCCUGGGCCAGUGCUGGGGAACCCUCAUACAUACACACACACACACACACACACACACUCACUCACUCACACACCCCUAGACCAGAGCACCUCCCAAUAAAGCUUUUGGCAAACAUCUUGGCUUUCUCUGGCAGAAGCUCAGCUCCCCCUGCCUUUUCCUGCCAGUCAUUCAAAAAGUCUUUCAGAGCCUACUCCAAAUCACAGAUUAACACCCCUCUGGAUGUUGCUCCUCUCCUCAUCUCCAAGUCAGCCAUCCAGCCCACCUCCACCUCUUGGAUGGUCUGAAGUUCAAAUCUCCCUCUUGUGCCUCACAGUGGAGACUUCAAGUUCCCCGCAAGACACCUUCUAGCCUGUCCCUUGUCCCUGGGGUGGGGGUGGGGGGUGCACUCCUGCCCCACCAUCCUGAAUGAGAACUUUCGUCCUAAUC